CAAUAGCGUAUAUUAAAGUUGUUGCAGUUAAAAAGCUCGUAGUUGGACUUCUGGGCCGUCCUGUUGGUCUGCCGCAAGGCUGUACUUGCGGGUUGGCCCAUCCUCUCGAAGGCUGGGGGUGCUCUUAACUGGGUGCUUUCAGAACUCGGGAUCUUUACUUUGAAAAAUUAGAGUGUUCAAAGCAGGCUUACGCUUGAAUACAUUAGCAUGGAAUAAUGGAAUAGGACUUUGGUUCUAUUUUGUUGGUUUCUAGAACUGAAGUAAUGAUUAAUAGGGAUAGUUGGGGGCAUUAGUAUUUAAUUGUCAGAGGUGAAAUUCAUUGAUUAAUUAAAGACUAACUUAUGCGAAAGCAUUUGCCAAGGAUGUUUUCAUUAAUCAAGAACGAAAGUUAGGGGAUCAAAGACGAUCAGAUACCAU
rnacentral:rRNA from 1 species